rnacentral:snRNA from 1 species
UGAAUUAUAAUUACCACCGAGCGGCGGGU